AUCAAUAUAUAUAUAUAUUUGGUAGGAAAAUUUUCAUCAAUAUUUGAAUGCGAUGAAAAGAGUAAAAGAAGAGGAGAGAGAGAGGGAGAGAACGGGGAGGCAUAAAGCAUGUUUUAUAAAUGGUGAAGCAUCUAAGAAUUGUUUUCUUUUUUUUGCACAAGCGGGCAGUCACAUGGCAUUUUAAUGUGAGAGCAACCCAUGAAAUCAAGCAACAAAAAGUCCCAG
rnacentral:lncRNA from 1 species